UGUGAGCUCGAUGAGUAGGGCGGGACACGUGGUAUCCUGUCUGAAUAUGGGGGGACCAUCCUCCAAGGCUAAAUACUCCUGACUGACCGAUAGUGAACCAGUACCGUGAGGGAAAGGCGAAAAGAACCCCGGCGAGGGGAGUGAAAAAGAACCUGAAACCGUGUACGUACAAGCAGUGGGAGCACGCUUAGGCGUGUGACUGCGUACCUUUUGUAUAAUGGGUCAGCGACUUAUAUUCUGUAGCAAGGUUAACCGAAUAGGGGAGCCGAAGGGAAACCGAGUCUUAACUGGGCGUUAAGUUGCAGGGUAUAGACCCGAAACCCGGUGAUCUAGCCAUGGGCAGGUUGAAGGUUGGGUAACACUAACUGGAGGACCGAACCGACUAAUGUUGAAAAAUUAGCGGAUGACUUGUGGCUGGGGGUGAAAGGCCAAUCAAACCGGGAGAUAGCUGGUUCUCCCCGAAAGCUAUUUAGGUAGCGCCUCGUGAAUUCAUCUCCGGGGGUAGAGCACUGUUUCGGCAAGGGGGUCAUCCCGACUUACCAACCCGAUGCAAACUGCGAAUACCGGAGAAUGUUAUCACGGGAGACACACGGCGGGUGCUAACGUCCGUCGUGAAGAGGGAAACAACCCAGACCGCCAGCUAAGGUCCCAAAGUCAUGGUUAAGUGGGAAACGAUGUGGGAAGGCCCAGACAGCCAGGAUGUUGGCUUAGAAGCAGCCAUCAUUUAAAGAAAGCGUAAUAGCUCACUGGUCGAGUCGGCCUGCGCGGAAGAUGUAACGGGGCUAAACCAUGCACCGAAGCUGCGGCAGCGACGCUUAUGCGUUGUUGGGUAGGGGAGCGUUCUGUAAGCCUGCGAAGGUGUGCUGUGAGGCAUGCUGGAGGUAUCAGAAGUGCGAAUGCUGACAUAAGUAACGAUAAAGCGGGUGAAAAGCCCGCUCGCCGGAAGACCAAGGGUUCCUGUCCAACGUUAAUCGGGGCAGGGUGAGUCGACCCCUAAGGCGAGGCCGAAAGGCGUAGUCGAUGGGAAACAGGUUAAUAUUCCUGUACUUGGUGUUACUGCGAAGGGGGGACGGAGAAGGCUAUGUUGGCCGGGCGACGGUUGUCCCGGUUUAAGCGUGUAGGCUGGUUUUCCAGGCAAAUCCGGAAAAUCAAGGCUGAGGCGUGAUGACGAGGCACUACGGUGCUGAAGCAACAAAUGCCCUGCUUCCAGGAAAAGCCUCUAAGCAUCAGGUAACAUCAAAUCGUACCCCAAACCGACACAGGUGGUCAGGUAGAGAAUACCAAGGCGCUUGAGAGAACUCGGGUGAAGGAACUAGGCAAAAUGGUGCCGUAACUUCGGGAGAAGGCACGCUGAUAUGUAGGUGAAGUCCCUCGCGGAUGGAGCUGAAAUCAGUCGAAGAUACCAGCUGGCUGCAACUGUUUAUUAAAAACACAGCACUGUGCAAACACGAAAGUGGACGUAUACGGUGUGACGCCUGCCCGGUGCCGGAAGGUUAAUUGAUGGGGUUAGCGCAAGCGAAGCUCUUGAUCGAAGCCCCGGUAAACGGCGGCCGUAACUAUAACGGUCCUAAGGUAGCGAAAUUCCUUGUCGGGUAAGUUCCGACCUGCACGAAUGGCGUAAUGAUGGCCAGGCUGUCUCCACCCGAGACUCAGUGAAAUUGAACUCGCUGUGAAGAUGCAGUGUACCCGCGGCAAGACGGAAAGACCCCGUGAACCUUUACUAUAGCUUGACACUGAACAUUGAGCCUUGAUGUGUAGGAUAGGUGGGAGGCUUUGAAGUGUGGACGCCAGUCUGCAUGGAGCCGACCUUGAAAUACCACCCUUUAAUGUUUGAUGUUCUAACGU
rnacentral:rRNA from 1 species